rnacentral:rRNA from 1 species
CCUACGGGAGGCAGCAGUGGGGAAUAUUGCACAAUGGGGGCAACCCUGAUCCAGCGACGCAGCGUGAGUGAAGAAGUAUUUCGGUAUGUAAAGCUCUUUUUGUAGGGAAGUAAAAAGACGGUACCUGUCCUAGAAGCCCCGGCUAACUACGUGCCAGCAGCCGCGGUAAUACGGAGGGGCCAAGCGUUUUCCGGAAUUACUGGGUGUAAAGGGUGCGUAGGUGGUAUGGUAAGUCAGAAGUGAAAGCUCGGGGCUUAACCCCGAGACUGCAUUUGAAACUGGCAUGCUGGAGUGCAGGAGAGGUAAGCGGAAUUCCUGGUGUAGCGGUGAAAUGCGUAGAUAUUAGGAGGAACACCAGUGGCGAAGGCGGCUUACUGGACUGUCACUGACACUGAUGCACGAAAGCGUGGGGAGCAAACAGGAUUAGAUACCCCGGUAGUC